UCUACGUUGAUUGGGAUGUACGAAGGAAAUGUGCUUGAUUCAUACAUCUGGAUAUAUUUGUGCUUACGACGUUUUCUGGAUUUGAGCGUACGCCGUGUUUCAGUAGAAAAUCCACGCAAGUCUUUGUACAUGAGGCCCCAGAUGUUUUUCGGUCCUAGUCCAAUGCAAGAGAUAUUGCAGAGUCGGGACGUGCCAUUCCAGCGCCCGUUUAACGGGUUUAAAAAGACAUUCUACUAGCCAUUUGUGUCAGUCAACUUCAUUUCUGGUCUCCGGGCCCUCCUUCUGCCUCUCUCUGUGUUUUCGUUGGGCCAUUGUGGAGCCGAGUUGAGCUACAGUACGUGCAGAGUUUGAAAAUUUGCGGCAGAGACCUUAAGUAACUCAGUAAAGUCUCUUAAAGGAGCACCUUUUGAGAGAAGAACGUACCAGAAGAAGCUCAACAUUGAAGAACAUGGAGCCGACCAGCCGAACAUAAAAAUCAAGCAGAAGUCAAAAGACAGGAAGAGGAUACACGAGGUCUUUUUCUAGAAGCUGGUUUACCAACAGGCCCUGAGUAACGGCAAGCAGCGAGACGAAUGCUCUGUUUUCUUCAAUGUCAGGAUGUGAUUCUGCAUGGACAAGAACAGCUCUGAACCCUUCUUCAACCAUGAGUGGACCAAAGAAAAGAAAAGUCGACGGGAGUACCAGACAAACCAAAUGCUGCUUCACCAAGGACAUGAAUAUUAUUUGCUUCCGUGUAGCAAGCAACUGGAGCCUCUCGAAAAUGUGAGCCCCUGGAAUUAGCAAUGACAGAUCGGAGGUACCGGCACAGACACAUGAGCAGAUGCGAGGGGGAGGACGGAGGGACGAGGGGACUGCCGGACAGAUGGAAGGACGUUGAUGGAUCCCGACAGCCAGUGAGCCAGGAUACCACAGCGUUUUGGCCUCCAGCCUGAAUCAACAGAGUGAGCUGACGGCUAUAUCUGCCCGCCUUUAUUAACAUGGAGAGGCGUGAACACACACCUGGCCACACACACACACACACACACACACACACACACGUCGCGGUAAUGUCGCGGCCAAGACGGGAGAAAGUUUGUUCGGCAGCAGGCGUGUAUGAGCUCCGGGAUUCCAGGUGCAUCAUUCAUUUUAUCCCCCAGCAGAUUAUUUAAAAGACAACCUGCAGCAUUCUCCAACACACACACACACACACACAUGCACGCGCACGCACACACACACACACACACACACACACGACUGAUUGUGAAGGCAGAAAUGUUAAUGAUGUAAACAGCUCAAAGCGAGGAAAGAAGAACAGCCUCAUUCAUUCACUCGUGUUUUGAUUCUUGUUGGAUGAAGUCAACUUGAAUGAAACACAAAGUGAGCACAUCAUGUGACUGACACGUGUUCAUACACCCAGCUAAAUGCUGUUCGA